rnacentral:rRNA from 1 species
CAGUAGCCGCGGUAAUACGAAGGGUGCAAGCGUUAAUCGGAAUUACUGGGCGUAAAGCGCGCGUAGGUGGUUUGUUAAGUUGGAUGUGAAAGCCCCGGGCUCAACCUGGGAACUGCAUCCAAAACUGGCAAGCUAGAGUACGGUAGAGGGUGGUGGAAUUUCCUGUGUAGCGGUGAAAUGCGUAGAUAUAGGAAGGAACACCAGUGGCGAAGGCGACCACCUGGACUGAUACUGACACUGAGGUGCGAAAGCGUGGGGAGCAAACAGGAUUAGAUACCCGUGUAGUCCCUGUCUCUUAUAC